AUUUUGCAAAUAUUUUGUGUCCUGCGCUCUCCCCACGAGCGAGCGUGGCACUGGACACCGCUCUCCGCUUGUGCAUCCAGCCUGGGGCUGUCUCCCGGCUGGGCAGGAGCACCGGUGAGUGGGUACAGCGCCAUGUACCUCAGCACGUGGCUGCAUUGCUCCUCGGUUCUGAAAACGCUACGUAUCCUCUUAACAGCUCUAAUCUUUAGAGCACUUGACAAAUACUACCACUGCCAGGACAAAUACUACCACUGUUGUUGCCAGGUGGACAAAUACGUGAUUUCAGCCCUGUUGAGGAAACAGAUACUGAAGUUAACCAACUUGCCAAAUGUGACAGAAGCAGUUAAAGAGAAUAGAAACCCCAGUUCAAUAGAUAGCUGGGCACAUGGUUAAAUUCCUUCAUUUUCAACAAAGAAUGUAAACAUCUGUGAAAUGUCCUGCUAAGCCUGUGCUAGAGAGGCUUCAGGCCUGCUGAUUGCUGGCGUGGUGCUCCAGUCCCUAUAGCUCAUGUUACAAGUAGUUUCUUUGGAAAAGCUCUUCUAUUGUUCAGUCUUUUCCAUAAGCUAGGUUCCGUAAGCACGCAACAAAUUUUUAAUACAUAAAAGCAGUUGUCAUGGAGAUAUUGUGAUCCAAAGUGAUUUUUUUAAAAUAAGUGACACAAACUUGGCACAUCCCAUGUGCCUUGUGCAGACAAUUCCUACAUGAUGCUUCCUGUGUUAGGCAUGGGAUAGAUACCUUUGCUUUUUGUGCCAGCAUGCUACGGAGAAACCACUGUUUCUGGCUUUCAGAUGAUUGGCUUUAGGAAUUUGAAAAAUGUUGUACUUAUAAGAGUGGGGUUUUUUUUUCAAGUCGCAACAUCGUAGCAAGGGGCUGCGCUGCUCACUUCUGUGAAAUCUCAAACACAAUGCAACAGCUGAAUUAUGGCUAAAACCUCUGCAGGAUAUAUUUUCUCUCCUCGUCUUGAUGCAUAGACUUAGGGCAAAAUGCAGUAACUAAUCCAAAAGAAAGCAGCUGGCUAAUGUAGCUGGGGAGGCUUCAGGGUCAUAAUGAGGAUCGUCUUCCUUGGAACGAGACUGCGAUCCUCUUGAAUACCUAUAAAUCCAGGGAGACCAAGUGCUGUACCUGCAGACUGAAGGGUAUCAAGCCUGAGCUCUCUGAGGCAUUUUGCCCAUGCUUGUCAUAACAUUUCUGCUCUUUAAGUGUGCUCUUGCAAAGUAGUACACAGUGCAGUUCAACCAAUAAGUAGGACUCUUACCUUUAUUCUGGGCCUCUUUUUUCUUGUCUUGUCCUGGAGAUCCUGUUACGCUUAAGCCAGGCAAUGCCUAACUGAUGUAGCCAUUCUGUAGCCUAUUUAGCUGAGUAGAUGAAUGAGAGUCUCUGCAUAUUAUAGCUAUGGCAUUUUUUUUUUUUCAGAUAUUUACUCUUCAGUUAAUACUACAUCACAGUUACUGUUGUAAUGACCUUCAUCUGGACCAAGCAACUAGAGAGUUAAGCUACAGAAAGGCUGCAAAAAAAAAAAGGAUCGCAGCAAGAAAAUGUGAGGUAUUCCCCCCUCACUUUCCUGCCAGGUGCACAGCUUCCUUGCUUCCCCCUUUUCAGCCCCACUGAAUUGGAUUUAGCCAAAUGAUCCGCAACACCUCGUAAGCUCUGGAAAUAUUAUUCUAAACUGUGAAGCUUUGCUCCCUGAAGUUGUGUAUAAGGACUGAAUGAGUGGAGAGGCGAUGCAGGGUCUAUUACAAAAGCAGUUGAUCUCCGUUGUGCAGAACGAGAGGGAGAAGCUUGUCAGCUUCACAAGGGAGGCUCUCUGUCAUGGAAUCACUUGCCCAGUGCUGCAGGACGCUGCACAGCAAGUUUAAUUUUGAUUCACAUUUUACUAUCAAAAAUAAUCUUACAAAAAUCUGGCUGAACUUCCUCAGAAGAAUGUUUAUUUCAGAAAGAGCACCUUCCAGGGCGCCCAAGCUAUAAUACAAAUUGAUCUCAACAGCGUAAGUGUUAAACCUACCAUUCUUGUGUUGCAGCUGUUUCCAGAUGAAGUCCCUCAAUAUACCUCUUCAUAAAUUGCCUCCUCUGUCCUUACUGUUGUUACACUUCCCUUAAAAAAUGGUGUCUAUUAUAGCCAAAAAUCAUUCAUAUUUAUUAUUCUAGUAGCCCAAAAAAACUUUCUUGGUACAGCAACUACUGCUUUAAUUUUUUGACAGUGUCCAACUGGAGACAGGCAAAUUUGCCAAAAUCUAUCAAGAAUUACUCUUGUGUAGAUAAUACACCGAGUGAAAGAAUUUCCACAAUAAAGGUGUGUACAUUACAGUAGCCUUGAGAUAGGGCUGACUUCUUCCAAAACAAGUUCUUCUGGUUUUAUGUGACUAUUUAAUGUAGCCCUGUGUUCAAGAAAAUAACUCUUGCUCUUACUCUGUACUAUGAAACCAGUAUAGCAGGAGGCACCAUGGGCUGGCGAACAGAUCAGGAGACAGGAGGUGUCUGAUGUAUCUGUCUAAAGAUUUUCAGGGCCAUUUCAACUCCCACUUCCCCUUCUGUGAAGUGUUACAGCUGCUAUUGAUUAUGCUAGUUCUAUGAGAUUUUUUUGAAACUGAAAUACGCUUUCUUCAAAGUAUAAGGUAUCUUUAACAGAAAAGUCAUAACUAUUAGGUGAACAAAGUAAUUGUUUUCUUAUGUCUGUGAAUGAAAAAGCUUCUGGGCAGUGCCACUGAAUGCAAAUACUUGUAUUUUGUUCAUCUGUUUCAAAUAUAAGUGCUUUCUACAUAUCAUCCAGAAGAAAAAAAAAAAAACAUGUAUUCCUUUUAGAGGGGAUAGGAUCUCUGAAGAAUACUCACAAUGAGUAUCUGUAACAUGGCUUUUCACUUACAGCAUUUCUGCAUCCUCUUUUACCCCAAAAGAUUCUGCAGUGUUCCAUGGCUGGCAGGCACAAAGGUAAUUUCACUUAUCCUGAAAAGCAGCUAUACCUAAGAUGAAGUCAGAACCACAACACUGGACAAUAAGAUUUCUAGGCAAGGGAGUGACUAACCAUUUAUCCACUUGAACUCCCAAUAUGUAUUUUUAAACUAGGGGUGCUACCAGCAAAGUACAGCGUACUGUCAAGUAAAACCAUGUAGGUAACAGUCGCCGGCAGACUGAGUACGCAUACCUGUGCAUCCAAUCACUCCUAGUCAUCUGUUUUAUGAUGGGAUUGUGAAUUGUACUUUUUUUGUUUUUGUAAUUAAAGGGUGGAACAGAUGGUGAGAACUUGAAGAGCUGCAUCCAUUAAAUUAAUGUAGAGAAUGUUUCCACAUUAUAAUUUAAUAUAAUGGGAUUUUACUUCACUGAAAGAAAACUACACAGUCUAGUGCUGGGAAUGUUUACUAUAUGAGAAGCUUCACUGUUAAAAGAUUUCACUGAGUCAUGCUGUGAGUCUCUGCCAAAUGCCGAUCAUAUGACCAACCCAGUUAAAAAAGGGUGUUUCUUCAUGCCAAUAUAUUUCACAUGCCACCCUACAGUGAACCUUUUUUCAACUCUACACCUGUGGAUUUUUGGUGUGGAUGUUAACACCAAAAGGGGACAAUGCAAUCUGACUGCAUAUGUUUAAAAAAGAGUAGGUAUGGACAAGCACAAGCUAGCUGGUUUAGUAGUAAGAAUGCUGUAACAAGUGGGGCUGGGUUUGACAUGAUUUCAGAGGUAGGUUUAAGGCAGACAAUCCAAACCAAUCAUUGACAGUGGUAAAAAUCAAUGAAUGUUUUGCCAGUUCCAGGCAUCAAGAUGCUACGCUUUGGAUAGCAACCAGUUUCAAAAGUUCAGAGAAUAAACUUUCUUGUUUCUGUUGAGGCAGGGGUUUUAAUUGCUGUGGUUAAGACAGAAGAAGAAAAUCCAAAAGCAGAGGCAUGAAUUUUUUAAGCAGCAGUGGACACUGCUAGGUUUUCCUAAAUCUCAGAAAAUAUUUAUACAUAACUGUAAAUAUUUGAGUGAAACUUGUCCAAACUAAAUUUUGGGAAUCCUGUAUUUUAUUACUGAAAUGUUUUUUAUCCACGGAAAGUUACAGCAAAUGUUUUGUACUAGUGAUUCUUUACUCCAGCAAGCUCCAGCUGUAGAUACAUAAUACUCGUCUCCCACGCAGCUCCGCCAUGGCUAGCAAUCAAUACAUUGUCUUCUGCGUACAAAGGCUAUUCCUCUAAUAAUCAGAGACUGGGAUAGGGGUGAAAUCAUUACGGAAAAUAGUUCUAGAAAGAAGACAAAGACUCACAAUGGGCCCAAGUGUCUCUGCUGCAACCCUUACUCCAACUAAAAUGCACUAAAGAUUGACUUGCCUCGGUGACUACUGAAGAAGAAAGUUAAAGGGAAGAGCACACAUACCACAGAAAGUUUAAAUUACACUUCCCUUCAGUGUAAUCUGUGAAAUCACUGUUAUGCUGCGUGGGAAUAAUUGAGAGGUCAUGGAGGAUUAUGUGGACAUUUAUGUUUCAUUCUGGCUUAAGCAUGUUCAACUCCAGUGAUAUCAACAAAAUUGUUUCCAUCUUCAGUAAUGCUGCAUUUGCUUCUAGGACUUAAUGAAAGAACAAUAAGUUUAGUAACUGCACAUACUGCUCUCUCACUGAGAUCUCCAUUUUUUCAAAUUUUCAGCAUUCAACUCCUGAAGCGCCAUUUCAGACACACUGAAGCUUCCCUACCCGGUGUAUGGAAAUGAAAAAUAGGGUGGUUAACAGUUUCAGAAUACAACACAUCCCACCUCUCCUAGCACAAGGCAGAACAUUGCUUUAAUGGCAACGGGUUUUGUCAGGGAGCCUGAUACACUGUGCUUAAGUCUUCACCUACUGCUGCAUGAGACGCGAUGUAUCACUGCCUCUUCCCUAUUUCCCUUUGUCAGGGAAGGAAAACUUUCACUCUAUUCCUCUAUAAGCUCUCAGUGGAGGAAUGUCUCUUGCACUGGCUGUUUCUCACUUCUCUAACUAUUAGCUUAUCCUUCCUCCCCAGGAAAAGGUAGGGACUUCUUGUUUGGAGAAACAUUCACACAGCUGAAGUAAAGCCUAUGGUGUUACUGAGCAGUUUCUCCUCUGGCACCACGUGCACUUCAAACUGCAGCAAAGCGCAUUCUAUGGGAUAAUUAGCAGCUGUAUUCAAGUGACUCAAGGGAAGAUUCGAGUUCUGAAUUUUGAGAGGAUGUUUGUAUGCCUGAUAUAAUUUUGUCUCAUCACAGUCUGCGUAAGCUUUUUGUGCAACAGGACAAAGGAAAGAAUUAACCAGUGACUCCAAAAUACUUGCACUAGGAAAAUAACUAUUUUGUUUCAACAGCUGGUGUGACUUUUUCUCCAUUAAAUCUAAAGAACGCCAUUGAGCAGAGGUUUAAGUACAGCUUUUGCCAUCAGUAACACCCUACAACCAACAAGAAAGGAGAUCCAUUUGCAACGCUUCAAAAUAACGCUCGAUGUAAGAAAAUCAUUAAAAACAAACAGAUAGAAACCGACGGCAAAGCAGAACUGUCUGAGCUGUGUGGUUGGUCUAACCGUGCUAGAUCCUCUUGCGUGGCCCGUGGCUGGUGAUGCUGCAGCCUGGACGUGCCUUCAGCUGCAUCAGUAACGUCUCCUCUGAGCGUAUCAGCAGACACAAUGGGUUUGCAGCCCAGCGCAGGUGGAUUCAGGCUCCCUGCCAGCAGUGUUUCCAGAGCUGAUGUUGCUGUAUCUGCUCAGUAUGUCACAUUCAUCCGUUCCUCUUCUGCAUACCUGAGGGAUAUCACCCAACUUUAAGACUGCCUGUCUGGAGCUUCUUAAAUUAAAAGGCCCAGGUGAGAAAGGUACCACACCUCCUUAAAGCCACUGAGGCCCAGGACAUCAGUCUGCGUUUAGAGGUAAGGCCUCCACAGACACUGGCUUCGAGAGGACUUGAGGGACCCAUGUGGCAAAAAGUGCCUUUAUGCCUAAUUUAAAAUUGAUAAGAACUAAAUUUUUACACCAUCCAGUUACUGCAAAGAAGGAAAGUGGGCUGAAUAUACAGCAUAAAAAUUUAGAAUCCAGAUUUAUAACCUUGGAAUUUGACUAGCAGUUAUUGUUCCCAUACUUGCAGAAAUCAGGGCAAGCUGGUGUCUCUGCCUAGGAGAAAAUCCAACACAACCUACGUCCAGACUAAAAUUCUUGCAGAUAUUCCAUGGACAUAGGUCUAACCUCUAAUAUUACCACUGAGCUUUUAGGGGAGAUCUCCCUACUGCACCGUAACAAUGCUGAAGUAUCUUUGCGAGGAAAUAUUUGUAGAUAAUCCCUCUUCUGUUUAGGGGUGGCACAGAACUGGUAUAAUAAAUACACCGCCCCUUUUGUGGCCAGUGCGCACUGGGGAUCCCGGGAAGAGAGCCAAAGCGAAGUGAUGUAAUCCGCAGCUGACAAAAAAGGCCACCUGGGGAAGCUGAGGCAGGACAGCGAGAGCUGCAAGGCUGACCUUUGAAUUGCAGAAGCAGGAGGGGGAGCCUUCAGGCGGUUCUGCUUUCCCGCUCCCGUGCUGAGGACGGGAGGGGGGAGCUCUGGUACAGAACUACCCACAGCCACAACACCCCAGGCGGGGUAAUGAGUAACUCGGCAGAACUCACACGUGUUCUUCCACCGCUUCCUUUUAACACGGGGGGCUUUUGUCAACAUAGUUUCCAAACUUUGAAUUUUAAAUGUAGAUGCUCAUUUUAAUUUGGCACCAAAGUGUUAUAGAAACGGUUUGUUUUCAUGCUAUUUUGUGCACAAAGCAGCCUACAAGCCAUUCCCCCCUCAUUUUACACAUUUAAAGCCGCUGACCUAUAGAAACUUUACAUCCCUCAUUGUGGCUAACAGAUUUUUCUGAUUCCUCAUGCAGUGUUUUACUGCCCGCUGUCUGUCCCGUCCUCAUGCUUGCGCUUUGCUGUUGUUCGCUAACUUCCCCUCCCACUUUGUCAAGGAUCUUGUACACCUUCAUCUGUUUUUAUUCCUUCGCAGAAGGACAGAAGUUUUAACUAAUUUGAGGCAAAUACAGUUCUUUAAGCAUAUAUAUUUAUUCAGAGCGUUUCAAGAGAAGCACCUGAAGACAGCAGCACUCACAAUUAUCCUAAAUGUUUCCACAAGCCCUUGAGGCUCCCAACGCCUCGGCCGAGCUGUUUUUAUACAUUCAUGGGGACAGACAAGAAUCAGCGUCACACCCAUGCACAUUCACAGAGGCAUCUCCAACCCUCACCUAUAAACACGUGCCGUUUCAAAUGCACAAUGAAACUUUAAAUCAAAUAAGCCCGCCCCCUUCUUUUAGGAAAAGCAUGCCUGGGAAGGGCCUGAAACCAUAAAAGCUGGUUAAAAGAACUCUCCAAGACUCACUUUUGGAGUUUAGAAAGCAGACACUCUUUUAUUACAGCGCGGGAUGCACGGGGGAUAAUUCCUCCUAGCAUGCACACCUACUGGAGUUUAUUUUUGACAUUUAUACAUGAAAGUUUACACACCAUACCUAUCUAAUACAUAAUCAUUGACCUGACUGAGCAUCCUCUUCUUCCAUCAGUCUCUAUCUUCUUUGCUUAAGUUUAAAUCUACAGUGUGAUUUUAAUUCACUGCGCAUACUCAGAAGGAGUUGGGGAGGGCAGUCCUUUUGUCCCUCAAUUGAGUCGGUGGUCGCAAUCUCCCCCCGCCUGAAUUACUUUUCCCCCAGUUCCUGUGACUCUCACUGGUUUCAUCGUUUCACGGUUGUGGCAUCCCUCGAUCUUCCUUGAGGGAGGACGUUUCUUUCUGUUAUUGGUCCUUUCUCAGCUCUGAGAACCUUGAAUUCCUUUCACAAGUUGGCUCCCCAAGUCGUUUGUAUUUCUCAGGAUGGGGGCUAAGAUUAAUAAUGGCUCAAGCUUUAAGUUUAACCCUUUAGUUAUUUACAACACCCCUGUGCCCCGAGGGGGCCCCGGCUCACCCCCACGCUGUCCCCAUAGCCCCCCGGCACCCCAAGAAAUCCCCUGGCACCAGGAAACGGGUGAGCAGAUGGCGACAGCCUCCUGGCCGCGCUGGCCCCCAUGCCAGCCCGCGGGAUGCGGCCAGCCGGGGCUCCCCACCGUGCCGGGCAGCACCAGCCACUUCCAGGCGUGUCCCGGGGCUCCCCGGAGGGUGAGGCUGGAACCUUCUAUAUUUUAGCUUGUGUUCACGGUGUCAGGCCCGGGUACCUGCGCUAUCGCACUACCGGUAGUUUUGAGAACGGCGCCGCCUGCGGCCUGGCCCCGCUAGCGGCGCGGCGGGAUUAGGGCUGGGCGGGGACUGCGGAGCGGCGGCCCCCCGCCAGCACCCGCUCCUCCUUGCGGCGAGCGCUGAGGCCUCGGCCGCCGCUCCGGAGAGACGCGGAGGGGCGAAGCGGGCCGGGGACCCCCGCACGGGGCCGGCCCGGGGGCCGCCCCCCUCAGCCCACCGCCCGGCUCCGCUCCGCGCCCCGCCGCCAGGCCCUGCUGCCAUGGCAACGGGCGGGGCGCCGCCGCGGUGACGUCAGACGCACGGCCGGGCGGGUCCCGCCUCGCGCACCCUCAGCGCCGGGCGGGUGGGGGUUUGUGCGUCUGCUCCCCGCCUCCGCCUUCCCCGUUCUUCCCAAAAAUAAAG